UACGUAGGGACCAAGCGUUGUUCGGAUUUACUGGGCGUAAAGGGCGCGUAGGCGGUCAGCACAAGUCAGUUGUGAAAUCUCCGAGCUUAACUCGGAAAGGUCAACUGAUACUGUGCGACUAGAGUGCGGAAGGGGCAACUGGAAUCCUGGUGUAGCGGUGGAAUGCGCAGAUAUCAGGAAGAACACCCGUGGCGAAGGCGGCUCUCUGGGACGGUACUGACGGCUGAGACGCGAAAGCGUGGGGGA
rnacentral:rRNA from 1 species